rnacentral:rRNA from 1 species
GGGACACGUGGUAUCCUGUCUGAAUAUGGGGGGACCAUCCUCCAAGGCUAAAUACUCCUGACUGACCGAUAGUGAACCAGUACCGUGAGGGAAAGGCGAAAAGAACCCCGGCGAGGGGAGUGAAAAAGAACCUGAAACCGUGUACGUACAAGCAGUGGGAGCCUCUUAAUGGGGUGACUGCGUACCUUUUGUAUAAUGGGUCAGCGACUUAUAUUCUGUAGCAAGGUUAACCGAAUAGGGGAGCCGAAGGGAAACCGAGUCUUAACUGGGCGUUAAGUUGCAGGGUAUAGACCCGAAACCCGGUGAUCUAGCCAUGGGCAGGUUGAAGGUUGGGUAACACUAACUGGAGGACCGAACCGACUAAUGUUGAAAAAUUAGCGGAUGACUUGUGGCUGGGGGUGAAAGGCCAAUCAAACCGGGAGAUAGCUGGUUCUCCCCGAAAGCUAUUUAGGUAGCGCCUCGUGAAUUCAUCUCCGGGGGUAGAGCACUGUUUCGGCAAGGGGGUCAUCCCGACUUACCAACCCGAUGCAAACUGCGAAUACCGGAGAAUGUUAUCACGGGAGACACACGGCGGGUGCUAACGUCCGUCGUGAAGAGGGAAACAACCCAGACCGC